GAUGAAGAACGCAGCGAAAUGCGAUAAGUAAUGUGAAUUGCAGAAUUCAGUGAAUCAUCGAAUCUUUGAACGCACCUUGCGCCCUUUGGCCAUUCCGAAGGGCAUGCCUGUUUGAGUAUCAUGAACACCUCAACUCUUUAUGGUUUUCCAUGAUGAGCUUGGACUCUGGGGGUUUUGCUGGCUCACAGUCGGCUCCUCUAAAAUGAAUCAGCUUACCAGUGUUUGGUGGGUAUCAUGGGUGUGAUAACUAUCCACGCUUGUGGUUUUUCCACCAGGUAACCUUCAGCAGUGGAGGUUCGCUGGAGCUCAUAGAUGUCUCUCCUCAGUGAGGACAGCCCUUUGAAUGUUUGAUCUCAAAUCAGGUAGGACUACCCGCUGAACUUAAGCAUAUCAAUAAGCGGAGGA
rnacentral:misc_RNA from 1 species